rnacentral:lncRNA from 1 species
GCUCUUCCGAUCUAUCUCCUGCCCGGCUCCUGCCCGGCUCCUGCCCAGCUCCUGCCCAUCUCCUGCCCAUCUCCUGCCCAGCUCCUGCCCAUCUCCUGCCCAUCUCCUGCCCAUCUCCUGCCCAUCUCCUGCCCGGCUCCUGCCCAGCUCCUGCCCGUCUCCUGCCCGGCUCCUGCCCGGCCUCCCGCUCCCCUCUCCCGGGAGCUGCUCCACCGCUGCCGCUCCUGGAGCGUCCUGCCUGCUGCCAUUUCCCAUUCAUUUCCAUCCAUCCAAAAGGCAAGGAGCUCGUUUCUCUGCUUUCCCAGUCCCGGUGGCUUCCCGAGCCCGGUUUGUGCUCAGCUCCCCGGUGGCACAGCUGGCGCAGCUGGCACAGCUGGCACAGCUGGCACAGGGUGUCCCGCAGCCGCAGGACUCCUGCCAGCCGGGAAAACACCGUGAGGCUCACCCCGAGUGAAGAGCCCCGCACAGGGACAGCUAACCCGGCACUCAGCUGCGCUUCUAAGUCUUGUUUUAAAAAGAACAGGGAGCAAACUCUGCAUCCAAUGCUCCCGUUCCAUAUAUCCCAUCCUUUAAGGCAUCUCCACAUCCAGCACCUCGUGCUGAAACAGGAAGGCAAAGGAGAUGAGAGGAGACAUCGCAGCAAGACUCUGCUCUCCAGGAUCACGGUGGCUGGCAUGGAGCAACUAUUCCCCACAGACAUCAAAAUAUGCUCAACAAAUUAAUGCCUCAGUCCUGCAAAGAUGUGAGGACACAUGAAUUAACUGUGCUCCUUUUCACAUGUGCUCUGAGACCACGAGUGAUGAGAAAUGUCAAGACCCACGCUAAUGUCCAAUCCUAAAAGGCUCCAGCAGCACCCAGGGGCAUUCAUUCCACACUGACUCAGAUGGCACCUCCUGAAUCACUGCCACCCCUUCCUGCAGCUCCCAGGUGCUCCGUGGAGGUACCCCGUGCAAUUUGCUCAAUUUAUGACAAUCCAAGGGUUUACAGCUUGAGCAGUAUUGCUACAAACAAGUCUUUUUGUCUGGAAACAGUGAAAAUUUCAUCAUCUCAAAGGGACACAACUGGGGCAGAUUUGUCCAAAGGGUUGUUUUUUGAAUGAGAAACUGAAACAAAGAGAAUUGUACUUCCCUGGUUUAUUUCGGUAAACAAACGAGUCUUUAAAAAGCAAACAGGCAUUCCCAGGAGUGGUUGAAGCAAAUCACAGAAUCAGUUAGGCUGGAAAAGAUCUCUGGGAUCAUCGAGUCCAUCCUGUGACAUAACAACACCACAUUAACCGGAGCACGGCACAAAGUGCCCGGGCCGGGCGUUCCUAAAACACCUCCCGGGACAGCCCCUCGCAGUGUCUGAUCCCCCUCCAGCUGCAGAAACGCGGUGCGGACACCGAGGCUGGGACCCAUCCCCGAGCGCCCGCAGAUCCAUCCCCAGGCGCCACGCCCGGGACCCGCCGCUGGCUCCGGCCCGGAGCGAGCGGGAACAGCACCAAAACAGCCCAAAUUUCACACAGAAACGGUGCUGGGUGCCGGGCGGGGAUGGGAACGGGGAUGGGAACGGGGAUGGGAACGGGGAUGGACACGGGGAUGGGAACGGGGGAUGGACACAGGGGAUGGACACAGGGGAUGGACACAGGGGAGGGACACAGGGGAUGGACACGGGGGAUGGGAACGGGGAUGGGAACGCGGGAUGGACACAGGGGAUGGGAACGGGGAUGGACACGGGGGAUGG